rnacentral:rRNA from 1 species
GAUGAACGCUGGCGGCGUGCCUAAUACAUGCAAGUCGAGCGAACGGACGAGAAGCUUGCUUUUCUGAUGUUAGCGGCGGACGGGUGAGUAACACGUGGAUAACCUACCUAUAAGACUGGGAUAACUUCGGGAAACCGGAGCUAAUACCGGAUAAUAUUUUGAACCGCAUGGUUCAAAAGUGAAAGACGGUCUUGCUGUCACUUAUAGAUGGAUCCGCGCUGCAUUAGCUAGUUGGUAAGGUAACGGCUUACCAAGGCAACGAUGAAUAGCCGACCUGAGAGGGUGAUCGGCCACGCUGGAACUGGGCCACGGUCCAGACUCCUACGGGGGGCAGCAGUAGGAAAUCUUCCGCAAUGGGCGAAAGCCUGACGGAGCAACGCCGGGUGAGUGAUGAAGGUCUUCGGAUCGUAAAACUCUGUUAUUAGGGAGGAACAUAUGUGUAAGUAACUGUGCACAUCUUGACGGUACCUAAUCAGAAAGCCACGGCUAACUACGUG